rnacentral:rRNA from 1 species
CAGCCGCCGCGGUAAUACGGAGGAUCCAAGCGUUAUCCGGAUUUAUUGGGUUUAAAGGGUGCGUAGGUGGCCUGUUAAGUCAGGGGUGAAAGACGGUAGCUUAACUAUCGCAGUGCCCUUGAUACUGAUGGGCUUGAAUGAACUAGAGGUAGGCGGAAUGUGACAAGUAGCGGUGAAAUGCAUAGAUAUGUCACAGAACACCAAUUGCGAAGGCAGCUUACUAUGGUUUGAUUGACACUGAGGCACGAAAGCGUGGGGAUCAAACAGGAUUAGAUACCCCAGUAGUCCCUGUCUCUUAUAA